GAUGAACGCUAGCGGCAGGCUUAAUACAUGCAAGUCGAGGGGCAGCAUGAAGUAGCAAUACUUUGACGGCGACCGGCAAACGGGUGCGGAACACGUACACAACCUCCCUUUAAGUGGGGAAUAGCCCAGAGAAAUUUGGAUUAAUACCCCGUAACACAACGAAGUGGCAUCACUUUGUUGUUAUAGUUUCGACGCUUAAUGAUGGGUGUGCGUAUGAUUAGAUAGUUGGCGAGGUAACGGCUCACCAAGUCUACGAUCAUUAGCUGAUGUGAGAGCAUGAUCAGCCACACGGGCACUGAGACACGGGCCCGACUCCUACGGGAGGCAGCAGUAAGGAAUAUUGGUCAAUGGACGCAAGUCUGAACCAGCCAUGCCGCGUGAAGGAUUAAGGUCCUCUGGAUUGCAAACUUCUUUUAUAUGGGACGAAAAAAGGUCUUUCUAGACCCCUUGACGGUACCAUAUGAAUAAGCACCGGCUAACUCCGUGCCAGCCGCCGCCGUAACAC
rnacentral:rRNA from 1 species